CCAAUAGCGUAUAUUAAAGUUGUUGCAGUUAAAAAGCUCGUAGUUGAAUUUCGGGAUCAUCAGGUUGGUCGUGCCUCUGGUAUGUACUGAUUUCGAUGGUUCCUCCUUCUUGAAGAUCCGUAAUGCCAUUAAUUUGGUGUUGCGGGGAAUCAGGACUGUUACUUUGAAAAAAUUAGAGUGUUUAAAGCAGGCAAUCGCUUGAAUACAUUAGCAUGGAAUAAUGAAAUAGGACGUUCGAUCCUAUUUUGUUGGUUUCUAGGAUUGACGUAAUGAUUAAUAGGGAUAGUUGGGGGCAUUAGUAUUCAAUUGUCAGAGGUGAAAUUCUUGGGUUUAUUGAAGACUAACUACUGCGAAAGCAUUUGCCAAGGAUGUUUUCAUUAAUCAAGAACGAAAGUUAGGGGAUCGAAGACGAUCAGAUACCGUCGUAGUCUUAACCAUAAACUAUGCCGACUAGGGAUCGGAUGAUGUUAAUUUUUUAAUGACUCAUUCGGCGCCUUACG
rnacentral:rRNA from 1 species